rnacentral:lncRNA from 1 species
CAGACUUUGGUUGUAAACUAUGAAACGCCCUUCUUUCACCACUAUAUAAACCCGUUGACGAAAAUUCAGCUUCCUGUUCCAAGGGCAUGAGGACUUGCGGUCCCCGCGUUAAAAAGGACAAGGUCACCUACAGAACUAAGCCAAUCUCAGUGUGAGCUCUGGUUGAACGACAAGAACCUAACAAAAUUAGCAUCGAAUUUCAAUGUGAAGAUGACGAUCCACACACCGAAAGGCUGAAUUUCGACUAUACCAGCCAGAAUAUAGCAUGAGCUUAAAGUAUGGCAACUUUGUAUGAACUUUGAACUCUUAUUCACUAAAGAAGUGAUACCUCCUAGCCGUUGCAUUAGCGCAGCAACUGUAGACGUGGGCUAGGAGAGGACGGACAGAGUACCCAUUCUACCAUGCUCCAGUUCACCACUAGACAUUCUUCAGAGGACCAGAGAUCCAUGCUGGACCACCCCGCCUUCUAUCUACGACCAAUCUACCGAAGCGCAGCUCAGAGACUGUAACGGUUGUCGUCGGGAAUGGAGGACCAAAAACGCAGCAGGAAUGUGGAUGCUCAUCUUGUAUUUAUUUUAAAAUCAAGUGAACACCAAAAUAACAAAAAACGAAGAACUCACGAACAACAAAGCAGUCUUGUCAGGCUCACACAUGCAAAACAAGAAACAACCACCCACCCUAAAGGUGCAGACCCCGGAUGCACCUCAUAAAUAAACACACAAAAAAAACAACAACAAACGAAAAUUCCCCCUAUACUAAAGGGAGGGAAGGGAGGGUCGCAGGCAGACCCCCUCGGUUCCGGGUCGCAGGCAGACCCCCUCGGUUCCGGGUCGCAGGCAGACCCCCUCGGUUCCGGGUCGCAGGCAGACCCCCUCGGUUCCGGGUCGCAGGCAGUCUCCCUCGGUUCCGGACUAGACACUGUUGCCGGAUACUCUGGACUGCACACUGGUGCCGGAUACUCUGGACUGCACACUGUUGCCGGAUACUCUGGACUGCACACUGUUGCCGGAUACUCUGGACUGCACACUGUUGCCGGAUACUCUGGACCGCACACUGUUGCCGGAUACUCUGGACUGCACACUAUUGCCGAACUCUCGAGGCUGGGUUGACGCACUAGAAGCCUGAUGCGUGGUGCUGGUACUGGAGGUAUCAGCCUGGGAACACGCACCUCAGGGCUAGUGCGGGGAGCGGGAACAGGCCGAGUCGGACUGG